AGCACUUGGAAGUCUUUGUGUUAAGCCGGUAGAAAAAGCGGUAGAGUCAGUUGCAAAAAUCAACGCUCUUUUGCAACCCAGAGCUCAUUGUUAAGUGUGGGUUCUGAUCCACCUAAGAAGGGCCACG